GAUGAACGCUGGCGGCGUGCCUAAUACAUGCAAGUCGAGCGAACAGAUGAGGAGCUUGCUCCUCUGACGUUAGCGGCGGACGGGUGAGUAACACGUGGAUAACCUACCUAUAAGACUGGGAUAACUUCGGGAAACCGGAGCUAAUACCGGAUAAUAUAUUGAACCGCAUGGUUCAACAGUGAAAGACGGUUUUGCUGUCACUUAUAGAUGGAUCCGCGCCGCAUUAGCUAGUUGGUAAGGUAACGGCUUACCAAGGCGACGAUGCGUAGCCGACCUGAGAGGGUGAUCGGCCACACUGGAACUGAGACACGGUCCAGACUCCUACGGGAGGCAGCAGUAGGGAAUCUUCCGCAAUGGGCGAAAGCCUGACGGAGCAACGCCGCGUGAGUGAUGAAGGUCUUCGGAUCGUAAAACUCUGUUAUUAGGGAAGAACAAAUGUGUAAGUAACUAUGCACGUCUUGACGGUACCUAAUCAGAAAGCCACGGCUAACUACGUG
rnacentral:rRNA from 1 species